rnacentral:rRNA from 1 species
GACGAACGCUGGCGGCGUGCUUAACACAUGCCAGUCGAACGGAAAGGCCCUGCUUUUGUGGGGUGCCCGAGUGGCGAACGGGUGAGUAACACGUGAGUAACCUGCCCUUGACUUUGGGAUAACUUCAGGAAACUGGGGCUAAUACCGGCUAGGAGCUCCUGCUGCAUGGUGGGGGUUGGAAAGUUUCGGCGGUUGGGGAUGGACUCGCGGCUUAUCAGCUUGUUGGUGGGGUAGUGGCUUACCAAGGCUUUGACGGGUAGCCGGACUGAGAGGGUGACCGGCCACAUUGGGACUGAGAUACGGCCCAGACUCCUACGGGAGGCAGCAGUGGGGAAUAUUGCACAAUGGGCGGAAGCCUGAUGCAGCAACGCCGCGUGCGGGAUGACGGCCUUCGGGUUGUAAACCGCUUUCGCCUGUGACGAAGCGUGAGUGACGGUAAUGGGUAAAGAAGCACCGGCUAACUACGUG